AGAGUUUGAUCCUGGCUCAGGAUGAACGCUAGCUACAGGCUUAACACAUGCAAGUCGAGGGGCAUCAGGAAGAAAGCUUGCUUUCUUUGCUGGCGACCGGCGCACGGGUGAGUAACACGUAUCCAACCUGCCCUUUACUCGGGGAUAGCCUUUCGAAAGAAAGAUUAAUACCCGAUAGUAUAAUGAUUCCGCAUGGUUUCAUUAUUAAAGGAUUCCGGUAAAGGAUGGGGAUGCGUUCCAUUAGGUUGUUGGUGAGGUAACGGCCCACCAAGCCUUCGAUGGAUAGGGGUUCUGAGAGGAAGGUCCCCCACAUUGGAACUGAGACACGGUCCAAACUCCUACGGGAGGCAGCAGUGAGGAAUAUUGGUCAAUGGGCGUUAGCCUGAACCAGCCAAGUAGCGUGAAGGAUGAAGGCUCUAUGGGUCGUAAACUUCUUUUAUAUAAGAAUAAAGUGCAGUAUGUAUACUGUUUUGUAUGUAUUAUAUGAAUAAGGAUCGGCUAACUCCGUGCCAGCAGCCGCGGUAAUACGGAGGAUCCGAGCGUUAUCCGGAUUUAUUGGGUUUAAAGGGAGCGUAGGUGGACUGGUAAGUCAGUUGUGAAAGUUUGCGGCUCAACCGUAAAAUUGCAGUUGAUACUGUCAGUCUUGAGUACAGUAGAGGUGGGCGGAAUUCGUGGUGUAGCGGUGAAAUGCUUAGAUAUCACGAAGAACUCCGAUUGCGAAGGCAGCUCACUGGACUGCAACUGACACUGAUGCUCGAAAGUGUGGGUAUCAAACAGGAUUAGAUACCCUGGUAGUCCACACAGUAAACGAUGAAUACUCGCUGUUUGCGAUAUACAGUAAGCGGCCAAGCGAAAGCAUUAAGUAUUCCACCUGGGGAGUACGCCGGCAACGGUGAAACUCAAAGGAAUUGACGGGGGCCC
rnacentral:rRNA from 1 species